UACAGAGGUGGCAAGCGUUGUUCGGAAUUACUGGGCGUAAAGGGCGCGUAGGCGGCCUUCUAAGUCAGACGUGAAAUCCCCCGGCUUAACCUGGGAACUGCGUCUGAUACUGGAGGGCUUGAGUGCGGGAGAGGGAUGUGGAAUUCCGGGUGUAGUGGUGAAAUGCGUAGAGAUCCGGAGGAACACCAGUGGCGAAGGCGACACGCUGGGCCAUACCUGACGCUAAAGCGCGACAGCAUGGGGAGCAAACGGG
rnacentral:rRNA from 1 species